GGAGAGGUGGCAGAGCGGCCGAAUGCGCUACAUUGCUAAUGUAGUGACCUCUCACGGGGUCCGGGGGUUCGAAUCCCCCCCUCUCCGCCA
rnacentral:tRNA from 1 species